CAGAAAAUAGUUUAAUAAAAAUAAUAAUUUUGGAGAUUAUCGAUAAUAUAUUUAAUAUUUUUUCUGA
rnacentral:tRNA from 1 species